UGGGCGACCUGCCCCAGACACAGGGAUAACCCCGGGAAACCGGGGCUAAUACCGGAUACUCCGGCUGGAUCGCAUGGUCCGGCCGGGAAAGGUCCGCCGGAGAGGGAUGGGCCCGCGGCCUAUCAGCUUGUUGGUGGGGUCAUGGCUCACCAAGGCGACGACGGGUAGCCGGCCUGAGAGGGUGACCGGCCACACUGGGACUGAGGCACGGCCCAGACUCCUACGGGAGGCA
rnacentral:rRNA from 1 species